rnacentral:rRNA from 1 species
UUGGGGCCCGCACAAGCGGUGGAGCAUGUGGUUUAAUUCGAUGCAACGCGAAGAACCUUACCUACUCUUGACAUCCAGCGAAGCCUUUAGAGAUAGAGGUGUGCCUUCGGGAGCGCUGAGACAGGUGCUGCAUGGCUGUCGUCAGCUCGUGUUGUGAAAUGUUGGGUUAAGUCCCGCAACGAGCGCAACCCUUAUCCUUGUUUGCCAGCACAUAAUGGUGGGAACUCCAGGGAGACUGCCGGUGAUAAACCGGAGGAAGGUGGGGACGACGUCAAGUCAUCAUGGCCCUUACGAGUAGGGCUACACACGUGCUACAAUGGCAGAUACAGAGGGCAGCGAGACAGCGAUGUUUAGCGAAUCCCUUAAAAUUUGUCGUAGUCCGGAUUGGAGUCUGCAACUCGACUCCAUGAAGUCGGAAUCGCUAGUAAUCGUGGAUCAGAAUGCCACGGUGAAUACGUUCCCGGGCCUUGUACACACCGCCCGUCACACCAUGGGAGUGGGCUGCACCAGAAGUAGAUAGCUUAACCUUCGGGAGGGCGUUUACCACGGUGUGGUUCAUGAC